rnacentral:rRNA from 1 species
AUUGAACGCUGGCGGCAGGCUUAACACAUGCAAGUCGAGCGAGCGGCGGACGGGUGAGUAAUGUCUGGGAAACUGCCUGAUGGAGGGGGAUAACUACUGGAAACGGUAGCUAAUACCGCAUACCAUCAGAUGUGCCCAGAUGGGAUUAGCUAGUAGGUGGGGUAAUGGCUCACCUAGGCGACGAUCCCUAGCUGGUCUGAGAGGAUGACCAGCCACACUGGAACUGAGACACGGUCCAGACUCCUACGGGAGGCAGCAGUGGGGAAUAUUGCACAAUGGGCGCAAGCCUGAUGCAGCCAUGCCGCGUGUGUGAAGAAGGCCUUCGGGUUGUAAAGCACUUUCAGCGAGGAGGAGUUGUUUAUAAAAGAAACACCGGCUAACUACGUGCCAGCAGCCGCGGUAAUAC